UAAUUUUUUUAUUAAAAAUAUUUUAUUUAAAUUUAAUAUGAAUUUUCGAGUCAGUCAUAACUUAGGCUUGGGUUAAAGAAAAUAAAGGUCACAAUACCUAUAAAUUUGAUAAAUAAAAUUACUAAUUAUUGUAUUUAAUAUAACAUUACUGCUAAUUUAUGGUAUAUUAAUUUAGUUUUAAAAUACCUUAAAGAUUGGAAAAUAAAACCCUUUAAAAUCCUCCAGCCACCGACAAAAACCACAUUAAAAAUCUUACAAAAUUUGACAAAAAAAAAAGACAAAUAAAAACCUAUUUCUAAC
rnacentral:lncRNA from 1 species